rnacentral:rRNA from 1 species
UACGAAGGGGGCUAGCGUUGUUCGGAAUUACUGGGCGUAAAGCGCACGUAGGCGGAUAUUUAAGUCAGGGGUGAAAUCCCAGAGCUCAACUCUGGAACUGCCUUUGAUACUGGGUAUCUUGAGUAUGGAAGAGGUAAGUGGAAUUGACGAGUGUAGAGGUGAAAUUCGUAGAUAUUCGCAGGAACACCAGUGGCGAAGGCGGCUUACUGGUCCAUAACUGACGCUGAGGUG